UACGUAGGGUGCAAGCGUUAAUAGGAAUUACUGGGCGUAAAGCGUGCGCAGGCGGUUUUGUAAGUCUGUCGUGAAAUCCCCGGGCUUAACCUGGGAACUGCAUUGGUGACUGGCAGGCUUUGAGUGUGGCAGAGGGAGGUAGAAUUCCACGUGUAGCAGUGAAAUGCGUAGAGAUGUGGAGGAACACCGAUGGCGAAGGCAGCCCCCUGGGUCAAGAUUGACGCUCAUGCACGAAAGCGUGGGGAGCAAACAGG
rnacentral:rRNA from 1 species